AUGGUGCAGCGUCUCACCUACCGCCGUCGUCACAGCUAUGCAACAAAAUCUAACCAGCACAGGGUUGUCAAAACCCCCGGUGGUAAGCUUGUUUAUCAGACCACGAAGAAGAGGGCCAGUGGACCUAAGUGCCCUGUUACUGGCAAGAGAAUUCAAGGAAUUCCACACUUGAGGCCCACUGAGUACAAGAGAUCAAGGUUGUCUAGAAACCGUAGGACUGUGAACCGUGCAUAUGGGGGAGUUCUGUCGGGAGGUGCUGUUAGGGAAAGGAUCAUUAGAGCUUUCUUGGUUGAAGAGCAAAAAAUCGUGAAGAAGGUCCUUAAAAUUCAAAAGACAAAAGAGAAGCAGGCCUCAAAGGCUUGA